rnacentral:rRNA from 1 species
CCUACGGGGGGCAGCAGUGGGGAAUAUUGGACAAUGGGCGAAAGCCUGAUCCAGCCAUGCCGCGUGUGUGAAGAAGGCCUUCGGGUUGUAAAGCACUUUCAGUGGGGAAGAAAGCCUUGGGGCUAAUACCCUCGAGGAAGGACAUCACCCACAGAAGAAGCACCGGCUAACUCCGUGCCAGCAGCCGCGGUAAUACGGAGGGUGCGAGCGUUAAUCGGAAUUACUGGGCGUAAAGCGCGCGUAGGCGGUCUGAUAAGCCGGUUGUGAAAGCCCCGGGCUCAACCUGGGAACGGCAUCCGGAACUGUCAGGCUAGAGUGCAGGAGAGGAAGGUAGAAUUCCCGGUGUAGCGGUGAAAUGCGUAGAGAUCGGGAGGAAUACCAGUGGCGAAGGCGGCCUUCUGGACUGACACUGACGCUGAGGUGCGAAAGCGUGGGUAGCAAACAGGACUAGAUACCCUGGUAGUC